rnacentral:sRNA from 1 species
UCCCUUCCGGCUACCUUGUGCAAGUACC